rnacentral:rRNA from 1 species
GUGGGGAAUAUUGGACAAUGGGGGGAACCCUGAUCCAGCCAUGUCGCGUGUGUGAAGAAGGCCUUUUGGUUGUAAAGCACUUUAAGCGAGGAGGAGGCUACCGAGAUUAAUACUCUUGGAUAGUGGACGUUACUCGCAGAAUAAGCACCGGCUAACUCUGUGCCAGCAGCCGCGGUAAUACAGAGGGUGCAAGCGUUAAUCGGAUUUACUGGGCGUAAAGCGCGCGUAGGUGGCCAAUUAAGUCAAAUGUGAAAUCCCCGAGCUUAACUUGGGAAUUGCAUUCGAUACUGGUUGGCUAGAGUAUGGGAGAGGAUGGUAGAAUUCCAGGUGUAGCGGUGAAAUGCGUAGAGAUCUGGAGGAAUACCGAUGGCGAAGGCAGCCAUCUGGCCUAAUACUGACACUGAGGUGCGAAAGCAUGGGGAGCAAACAGGAUUAGAAACCCUGGUAGUCC